AGGCAGAGACAGAAGGAUGUCUGUGAGUUCCAGGUUCGCCUUGUCGACAUAGAAAGACUGUCUCAGUCAGUCAGUCAAUCAAUCAGUCAAUAAAUUUGAUGAAAAAAGAAAAGCCAAUGUUAUACUGAGAUCUGCCUUUUUCUUACCAGAAUAACCAAACUGGUACUAAGUCAAACAAGAUAGGUGUAUCCACCUUCUUCCCCAGAUGGCGGCCAUCUUUGGUGGGCCAGUUACUAAGAUGCGAGCUUACCCAGUAGUCCACCAGCAGUUAUAAUGUUAAAACUAUCCUACUGGGCUAGAUUUAUGUUAUGACCUUGAACUCAUAGACCUGGCUCUGCGUACUGAGUUACACACUCAGCUAAAACACAAUUUCUUUUUUAAAUAUGACUUUUAACUCAUUUAGUUUUAAGCCUCCCCUUUCCUUCAGUCAGAGUCAUUCACAAACCAUGCUGUGUCCCUGCUGCCUGUACCCUUCCCAGAGCGUCCUCUGUGACCCCUGUCUUCCACUUGAGCACUGCUGUAUCUGGGCUGUUUUUACAUUUGUACCUGCUCUGUAAGUCUGCUCUGGUCUUUGUUAGAGAUAGAAUGUGGCUUUCUGCAGUGUUCUCUUCUUCUCUAUCCUUUAAAUGUGUGUCCCGUUGGUCUUCUGCUUUCCAAAUGUUCUCUAUGGACUGUGAUUAUGUUAAUAAAGUAUCCCUGAGUGUGAGACACGCCUGCGUCUGCCUCCUUUAGCAGGGUGGGUUUACCAGGAACUUUCUAUAUGUCACUCGAUUAUUAUGGGGGGCAGGUGGGAAGGCCUUGUGUUCUCUCAGCUCUCUGAUGUUCACCCUGUUUUCUUAUUUGUUUGUUACAUUGUCCCCUUUCAGGAGCAAUUAUGUUUGCCUCUGCACAUUUUAGAAGAGAAAGGGUUGGGCCAGGUUGCAGUGACAGUCCAGGCCCUCCUGGAACUUGCCCCACCCAAGCAGCAGCCGCAGCAGCAGCCACCACAGCUCUCUGCUGUCUGAGGUCUCCCCGGGCCCUGCAUGUUGGCACAGC
rnacentral:lncRNA from 1 species